ensembl:lncRNA
CUUGGCUUCAGGAACACAGCUUCAGUAAACAAGCUCAUCAUUAGCAACAGAACGAUAAAACACAGUGACCGGAUGAGAAAGAACAACGGACUAAAGAUACCAUCCCUAUAUCCAGGGUCCUAUAAGGCAAAAAUUCACAGUCACCAUGUUUUGAUGCCAAUUGCAGCUUUCGCAGCAAUUUGAGCAGGAGUCAUUCAUACCAGGCAUUUUGCUCAGAAAAUACCUGAAUGGUAGGGUUUCUAUCUCUGACUUCUUGGGCCGAGACCUCCGAAACCAUCGGAUCCGUGCCUGGAGAUGACACCUAGCUGCCGGGGACCUCCCCGAUUCUGUCCCACCAUUCGGCGGCCGAAG